rnacentral:lncRNA from 1 species
CUCCAUUUAAAAAAAGCUCUCACAUUGCUGUGAUGAGUUUGACUGCAUUGAUUCCGGCUUUGCAAGGAGUGUCGCUGGCCAUAGCCGUGAAAAGUUGUAGAAAAGCUAGCAGCCUUGCAAAGCUGCGAUGGAGCUGAUGUAUGCGGAGGUGACAGUAGUCUGAUACUGAACGUGCCUGAGAAAACUGGGGGACUUUUUAUGGAUGUGCCGCAGCGACUUUACAGGAUCAGUCGGAGCAAAUCACUCCCUUCCAGCAGCAGCAGUCAGGCGAGACGCAUCCAUCACACCGCCAGCAGAUGUGUGUCUGCGCACAUUCAUCAGUUGGGAAUGGUUAGUGGUGUCUUGGCCAAGAGCAAUGUCCUGUCUACCCACACACAGAGAAUGAGUAAGGCAGACAGACCCCUAUGACCCCUCUACACUUCCAGCCAUUCCUCUACAGGUA